rnacentral:rRNA from 1 species
CACGAGGGGCCAAGCGUUGUCCGGAUUUAUUGGGCGUAAAGAGCUCGUAGGCGGUUCGACAAGUCGGGUGUGAAAACUCCGGGCUCAACCCGGAGACGCCACCCGAUACUGUCGUGACUGGAGUCCGGUAGGGGAGUGGGGAAUUCCUGGUGUAGCGGUGAAAUGCGUAGAUAUCGUAAGGAAGACCAGUGGCGAAGGCGGGUCUCUGGACAGUUCCUGACGCUGAGGCACGAAGGCCAGGGGAGCAAA